CAAUAGCGUAUAUUAAAGUUGUUGCAGUUAGAACGCUCGUAGUCGGAUUUCGGGGCGGUCCGACCGGUCUGCCGAUGGGUACGCACUGGUCGGAGCGUCCUUUUUGCCGGAGACCGUGCCUACUCUUAACUGAGCGGGGGCGGGAGACGGCACUUUUACUUUGAAAAAAUCAGAGUGUUUCAAGCAGGCAGCUCGCUCUUGCAUGGAUUAGCAUGGGAUAAUGAAAUAGGACUUUGGUGCUAUUUUGUUGGUUUCGAACACCGAAGUAAUGAUGAGAAGGGACAGUCAGGGGCACUCGUAUUCCGCCGAGAGAGGUGAAAUUCUCAGACCAGCGGAAGACGAACCACUGCGAAAGCAUUUGCCAGGGAUGUUUUCACUGA
rnacentral:rRNA from 1 species